AAAAAAAAAGGAUAUCACUUGAUUUUUUAGAGUAAUUUGCGGCAUAAAUACCUAAGUUUUAUGUCGGGUAGCAGAAAUACCUAAGUCGUAUUUUUGGCGGUAAAAAUACCUUCCGUCACACUCUUGGAACUUCCGUAGGUACCUCUCCGUUUUCUUCUAAGUAAGUGUCCAUGUGUCACCCUUCUAUUAGUCCACAUCAUUUAAAUUCUAUCUCUUAUUUAAAAAUUCAUUUAAGCUUUUGAAAAUUAAAAAAAAAAUACAUAAUAAAAUUAAUAAAAUAUCUCAUAAAAUUAAAAAAUUAUUUUUUCCCUUUUCUCUUCAAUCUCAUCCACGAUCUUCUUCUCUCUCUUCUCUUCUUCUUCUUCUUCUUCUUCUUCUUCUCUUCUUCUUCAUCAUCAAUCCCUAAAAUUUAUCAUCCCUCCCGUUUUCUUUUUCUAUUUCCAUCAAUCUCACUCUCAAUCUCUCUAUUGCAAACUAUAAUUUUUUUUUCUAUCUAUUAGUAAAAUUAAAAACCCUAAAUCAUAACCCCACCAUACCUGCACACAUUAACUUGUUGGAAGCUUUUCGACAAUCAGAGUUGAAAACUAUACAAAUGAUGAUUUAAAGAGAUACACCAUUAACGAUUGAGGAUUGGGCAGAUUGAGUCUCCAAAAAACGACUUGAUCGACCACCUUCCCAGACUUAGGCAACCACCACCGCAAGCUCAGGAAGGUACAAUAAGGAUGUGGCUUUUUGGUUUCAGACUUUUGGAUCCGAGGUUGCUGCAUCGGAUGAGUUCUCUCGAAAAAUAGGAAUGGAAGAGAAGAUCAAGUGAAAGAGAUAGAUCUGGUGGGAAAGUAAUUUGGAGAUGUGCAACUGUGAGAAUCAAUAUAUGUAUAUUUUGUUUUAUGCUUUGAUAUUAUAAUGUGUUGUGUAUAAGUUAGGGAAAAUCAUUUCAAUAUGUACAAAUCUGAGUUUGUAGAACACGAAUAUGGAACAACCUAUUAAUUUUUUGGGUUUUUUUUCUUGGGUUUUUUUUUUUUAAACUUGAAUCUGGUUUUGGAAAUGUUGAGAUGAUGAACAGUGGUUUUGAAUAUGGUGAAGAUGAUGAGUACGAUAACUGAGGGUGAUGAGUACAAUGAUGUUUUUUUUAAAUUUUUUUAUGUAAAAUGAUAUUUUUUUUU